CCUACGGGUGGCUGCAGUGGGGAAUAUUGGACAAUGGGCGAAAGCCUGAUCCAGCCAUGCCGCGUGUGUGAAGAAGGCCUUCGGGUUGUAAAGCACUUUCAGUGGGGAAGAAAGCCUUGGGGCUAAUACCCUCGAGGAAGGACAUCACCCACAGAAGAAGCACCGGCUAACUCCGUGCCAGCAGCCGCGGUAAUACGGAGGGUGCGAGCGUUAAUCGGAAUUACUGGGCGUAAAGCGCGCGUAGGCGGUUUGAUAAGCCGGUUGUGAAAGCCCCGGGCUCAACCUGGGAACGGCAUCCGGAACUGUCAGGCUAGAGUGCAGGAGAGGAAGGUAGAAUUCCCGGUGUAGCGGUGAAAUGCGUAGAGAUCGGGAGGAAUACCAGUGGCGAAGGCGGCCUUCUGGACUGACACUGACGCUGAGGUGCGAAAGCGUGGGUAGCAAACAGGAUUAGAUACCCGAGUAGUC
rnacentral:rRNA from 1 species